AUUUACUAUUCCUGCUAAAUCGCGGAGAAGAGUGGAAUGAACAAAAAGUCAGACCGUGACUAGAACCACCAGCAGCGUAACAAGGAAAUCUUGGAGCAAAGAGACGCCGAGUGGCUCGUUGUCCGGUUUGGAUAUCAGCGGUAAAGCGAACGUUGUGUGUACUAUUGCAAAAUAUAUAUAGCGGAUCUCCACGGUUAGGAUACAGACCACAGCGCUUUGGACGUAUCUUUAAAAAAGAGAAAAAUCAGAGACUUUUUGGAUUUGUCUGGGGGACAUUUUAAACAUUUUGUGACAAAUUGGAUUUAAAACAUUUCGGAUAUUGGAUACCUAGUUUGAUAUGUCCACAGAGAUUGUUUAAGACGUUUUCACCUCAUUUUAGGGUUUAUUUUUAAUUAAAGGCUUCUUAAAACAUGUAUGAAAAUGUGUAUAUUAUACAAUGAGUCUUAUAUUGUCUGCUCUGACAAAAAUAAAUUAUUAUUUUAGAUUUUA